GUUCUUAGCAACAAAGAAAAACAAUUUUGAAAGAACCAUUACCUUUUCGGCACAAGGCUACGGGACGGGUGUGGAAAUCUUGCCAGUUUAACUUUUGGAAGUACUUGCUAAAGAUGGAACCUUGUAAUAAAGAUAGCGAAGGGGCUAAAACUAAAAAGAAGCCCGAAAAAACCCAGGGUGAAAGUGAUGAAAAGCCCCCUUGCCCAGAACCUCUGACGCCUCUAUGCGAGCCUCCUCCAAGACCUCCACCUCAACCCAUGCCUGAACUUCCACCAGAGGAACCUGCAGUGUGCCCAGAGCCUUCCGAGAAGGCCUGUCCCGAGGGAAAAUAACCAAAAUGUCAUCCGGUGUUGUGGACUCCGUCCAGCGGUCUCCCAUCAGUCUAUAAGUCGAGUUUUGGAACCAGUCAGCGGUUGUGUUCCCGGGGACCAUCAGGUAUCUCAGCACAUUACGUGAACGGCGGAAUUAUGCACGACCUGAUAAGAAGUUCUCAAGACUAAUGCAAUGGCUCGACUUCUUUAUGUCAAAAUAAAACAUCGGUGACCUCA